UAGGGAAUUUUCGGCAAUGGGGGAAACCCUGACCGAGCAACGCCGCGUGAGUGAAGAAGGCCUUAGGGUUGUAAAGCUCUGUUGUAAGGGAAGAAUAAUCAGGAGAGGGAAUGCUCUUGAUCUGACGGUACCUUACCAGAAAGCCACGGCUAACUACGUGCCAGCAGCCGCGGUAAUACGUAGGUGGCAAGCGUUAUCCGGAAUUAUUGGGCGUAAAGGGAGCGCAGGCGGUUUAUCAAGUUUGUGGUUAAAGUUCGGGGCUCAACCCCGUGAUGCCACAGAAACUGGUAGACUAGAGUGCAGGAGAGGUGAGUGGAAUUCCAUGUGUAGCGGUAAAAUGCGUAGAUAUAUGGAGGAACACCAGUGGCGAAGGCGGCUCACUGGCCUGUUACUGACGCUGAGGCUCGAAAGCGUGGGGAGCAAAUGGG
rnacentral:rRNA from 1 species